rnacentral:rRNA from 1 species
AACGAACGCUGGCGGCAUGCCUAACACAUGCAAGUCGAACGAGACCUUCGGGUCUAGUGGCGCACGGGUGCGUAACGCGUGGGAACCUUCCCUUAGGUUCGGAAUAACUCCCCGAAAGGGGUGCUAAUACCGGAUAAUGUCUUCGGACCAAAGAUUUAUCGCCUUUGGAUGGGCCCGCGUUGGAUUAGAUAGUUGGUAGGGUAAAAGCCUACCAAGGCGACGAUCCAUAGCUGGUCUGAGAGGAAGAUCAGACACACUGGGACUGAGACACGGCCCAGACUCCUACGGGAGGCAGCAGUGGGGAAUAUUGGACCAUGGGCGAAAGCCUGAUCCAGCAAUGCCGCGUGAGUGAUGAAGGCAUUAGGGUUGUAAAGCUCUUUUACCCGGGAUGAUAAUGACAGUACCGGGAGAAUAAGCUCCGGCUAACUACGUG